GGAGGUGACACAGAGGUGACACAUGGUGACAUAGAUGUGAUACAGGUGACAUAGAGGUGACACGGAGGUGACACGGGACGUCAGGUCCUCCACCCCAACCUCCUCUCAUUGGCCAACGUCAAGCAGAGGAGCCAUAGAGAUGGGGACGUGGUAUUGCCAUACAUGGAUACGUGGUGAGGUGGAGGUGACACAGAGGUGACAGGUGGUGACAUAGAUGCGAUACAGGUGACAUAGAGGUGACACGGAGGUGACACGGAGGUGACACGGGCCAUCAGGUCCUCCACCACAACCUCCUCUCAUUGGCCAACGUCAAGCAGAGGAGCCAUAGAGAUGGGGACGUGGUAUUGCCAUACAUGGAUACGUGGUGAGGUGGAGGUGACACAGAGGUGACAGGUGGUGACAUAGAUGCGAUACAGGUGACAUAGAGGUGACACGGAGGUGACACGGAGGUGACACGGGCCAUCAGGUCCUCCACCACAACCUCCUCUCAUUGGCCAACGUCAAGCAGAAGGCUCAUGGAGAUGGGAGCACGGUGUUGCCACACACAGACCCGUGGUGACACAACAGUCGGGUGACACCUCAGCGGGGGUGACAUGGUGGUGGUGACUCCGUGUGACACCCGCCCGUCCCCAACCCACCCUCCAGAUCUACUGCCAGAACCUGUGCCUGCUGGCCAAGCUCUUCCUGGACCACAAGACGCUCUACUUCGACGUGGAGCCCUUCGUCUUCUACCUGCUGACCGAGGUGGACCGCCAGGGGGCGCACAUCGUGGGCUACUUCUCCAAGGAGAAGGAGUCCCCCGAUGGGAACAACGUCGCCUGCAUCCUGACGCUGCCGCCGUACCAACGCCGCGGAUACGGGAAGUUCCUCAUCGCCUUCAGUUACGAGCUGUCCAAGCUGGAGAGCACCGUGGGAUCCCCCGAGAAGCCGCUGUCGGAUCUGGGCAAGCUGAGCUACCGCAGCUACUGGUCCUGGGUGCUGCUGGAGAUCCUCAGGGACUUCCGAGGCACGCUGUCCAUCAAGGACCUCAGGUACACCAGUAUGGCACCAGUAACACCAGUACGGCACCAGUAACACCGGUGUGGGACCAGUAACAGCGGUGUGGGACCAGUAAGACCAGUAUGGGACCGGGAUGGGACCAGAAACACAAGUAUGGGACCGGUAUGGGACCAGUAUGGGACCAGAAACACCAGUAUGGGACCAGUAACACCUGUAUGGGACCAGUAACACCAGUAUGGGACCGGUAUGGGACCAGUAUGGAAACUGUAUGGGAUCAGAAAUACCAGUAUGGGACCAGCAUGGGACUGGUAUGGGACCAGAAACACCAGUAUGGGACCAGAAACACCAGUGUGGGACCAGUAACACCAGUAUGGGACCAGAAACACCAGUGUGGGACCGGUAUGGGACCAGUAUGGGACCAGUAACACCAGUAUGGGACCAGUAUGGGACCAGUAUGGGACCAGAAACACCAGUGUGGGACCAGUAUGGGACUAGAAACACCAGUAUGGGACCAGUAUGGGACCAGUGAGCUCCCAGUACCUCCCAGUAAGACCAGUAAGCUCCCAGUAAGACCAGUGAGCUCCCAGUAAGACCAGUGAGCUCCCAGUAAGACCAGUGAGCCCCAAGAGAUGCCACCAACCCCAGCAGGAAGCCCAGGACCGUGAGCUCGUGGAGGGCUUCCAUCUCCACCAAGGAGCUCCGUUGGCCACCAGUCACACCAGUGAGCUCCCAGUCACACCAGUAAGCUCCCAGUACCUCCCAGUAAGACCAGUGAGCUCCCAGUAAGACCAGUGAGCCCCAAGAGAUGCCACCAACCCCAGCAGGAAGCCCAGAACCGUGAGCUCCUGGAGGGCUUCCAUCUCCACCAAGGAGCUCCGUUGGCCACCAGUAGGACCAGUGAGCUCCCAGUCACACCAGUAAGCUCCCAGUACCUCCCAGUAAGACCAGUACCCCCCCCUCACAGCCAGAUGACCAGCAUCACGCAGACUGACAUCAUCAGCACCCUGCAGUCGCUCAACAUGGUGAAGUACUGGAAGGGGCAACACGUCAUCUGCGUCACCCCCAAACUGGUGGAGGAACACCUCAAGAGCGCCC
rnacentral:lncRNA from 1 species